AUUGAACGCUGGCGGCAUGCCUUACACAUGCAAGUCGAACGACAGCACGGGGCAACCUGGUGGCGAGUGGCGAACGGGUGAGUAAUGCAUCGGAACGUACCUUUCAGUGGGGGAUAACGUAGCGAAAGUUACGCUAAUACCGCAUAUUCUGUGAGCAGGAAAGCAGGGGAUCGCAAGACCUUGCGCUGAUUGAGCGGCCGAUGUCAGAUUAGCUAGUUGGUGAGGUAAAGGCUCACCAAGGCGACGAUCUGUAGCGGGUCUGAGAGGAUGAUCCGCCACACUGGAACUGAGACACGGUCCAGACUCCUACGGGAGGCAGCAGUGGGGAAUUUUGGACAAUGGGGGCAUCCCUGAUCCAGCCAUGCCGCGUGAGUGAAGAAGGCCUUCGGGUUGUAAAGCUCUUUCGGCCGGGAAGAAAUCGCACGGGCUAAUACCCUGUGUGGAUGACGGUACCGGAAUAAGAAGCACCGGCUAACUACGUGCCAGCCGCCGCAGUAACAC
rnacentral:rRNA from 1 species